rnacentral:tRNA from 1 species
GGUAAUAGCUCAGUGGUAGAGUGCAUGCUUAGCAUGCACGAGGUCCUAGGUUCAAUCCCCAGUACUUCCA